GCCAGACUCCUACGGGAGGCAGCAGUGGGGAAUAUUGCACAAUGGGGGAAGCCCUGAUGCAGCGACGCCGCGUGAGCGAUGAAGUAUUUCGGUAUGUAAAGCUCUCUCAGCAGGGAAGAAAAUGACGGUACCUGACUAAGAAGCCCCGGCUAACUACGUGCCAGCAGCCGCGGUAAUACGUAGGGGGCAAGCGUUAUCCGGAUUUACUGGGUGUAAAGGGAGCGUAGACGGUUCUGCAAGCCAGAUGUGAAAGCCCGGGGCGCAACCCCGGGACUGCAUUUGAAACUGUCAGGCUGGAGUGCAGGAGAGGUAAGUGGAAUUCCUAGUGUAGCGGUGAAAUGCGUAGAUAUUAGGAGGAACACCAGUGGCGAAGGCGGCUUACUGGACUGUAACUGACGUUGAGGCUCGAAAGCGUGGGGAGCAAACAGGAUUAGAUACCCUCGUAACU
rnacentral:rRNA from 1 species